GUUGCAACACAACACAAUGUGGAAUAUAUCAAUGGGUAUGCAUACUUGCUGAAUGCACUUUAUAUACACCGGAUGGAUUUACACAAGAUGUACUAGGAAUGGACUAUGACUUGGAGAUGGGCAUGGGUGGAGUGCUUGCUCUUUCUGCGUUGGCUAAAGUGGGAUGACGCGACACAGAGCUUGUAGGGGUUUGCACCAAAGGAUGUCAUGUUAGCUUGAAUGCUGUUUUGUUAUUUAAUGUCAAUAAAUGUCAUUUAAUUA